UGCACCGUGGUGUACGGAACACACGCUGAGCACUUUUAUUUUGUGUAUUGAUUCAGCUCACGCAGCAAGCCGGGGUUCGACUCCCCGCGGUGCAC